UGAGAGGAGUCCUCCUUAGUACGAGAGGACCGGGAGGAACGAACCGCUGGUGUACCAGUUAUUCCGCCAGGAGUAGACGCUGGGUAGCCAAGUUCGGAGAGGAUAACCGCUGAAAGCAUCUAAGUGGGAAGCCCACCUUAAGAUGAGUGUUCUCACUACGAGAGUAGGUAAGGUCACGGGGAGAACACCCGUUAAUAGGCUUUAUGUGGAAGUACAGUAAUGUAUGUAGCAGAGAAGUCCUAACAGACCGAGGGCUUGACCUC
rnacentral:rRNA from 1 species